rnacentral:rRNA from 1 species
AUUGAACGCUGGCGGCAUGCCUUACACAUGCAAGUCGAACGGCAGCACGGGGCAACCUGGUGGCGAGUGGCGAACGGGUGAGUAUGCAUCGGAACGUACCUUUCAGUGGGGGAUAACGUAGCGAAAGUUACGCUAAUACCGCAUAUUCUGUGAGCAGGAAAGCAGGGGAUCGCAAGACCCUGCGCUGAUUGAGCGGCCGAUGUCAGAUUAGCUAGUUGGUGAGGUAAAGGCUCACCAAGGCGACGAUCUGUAGCGGGUCUGAGAGGAUGAUCCGCCACACUGGAACUGAGACACGGUCCAGACUCCUACGGGAGGCAGCAGUGGGGAAUUUUGGACAAUGGGGGCAACCCUGAUCCAGCCAUGCCGCGUGGGUGAAGAAGGCCUUCGGGUUGUAAAGCUCCUUCGGCCGGGAAGAAAUCGCACGGGCUAAUACCCUGUGUGGAUGACGGUACCGGAAUAAGAAGCACCGGCUAACUACGUGCCAGCCGCCGCAGUAAUAC